ACUAGAAUAAAGGAAAACCCUUCAAAGAUCCACCUUUGAUUUUAGAGAGAGAGAGAGAGACUCAUUAUAAAAGAUUCAACUCCAUCCCCUCUGAAUCUGCUGCCAAAACAACACAACGAAGAACGACGACGGUUUCUCUUUCCUUUCUUAUCUUCUAGAUACAUAUGGAUUACAGGAUGCCUCAUAAUGAAGUUGAUGAAAUCGAUUACAUGGCAGAAGAAGGGGACAUUUUGGAUUUUGUGAUGGAUGAUGAGGAGGUCAA